CAGGGCAGCAAGAGGGAAGCCCUGGAUUCCCACAGCGGGGUUUCUGGGAGUUUUUUUUUGCAGGGAAAGGGAUAGGUGGAUCUUGCAUUGCCCCGAAGGUGAGACGCAGAUGCCCCUUUGGACACUUGUGAAGGGUUCCUGUAGCGAUCUCUCUGUACUGGCUGGGGCAGUGGUAACAGUUUGGGGGGGACAUCGGUUUUGGGGUUCCAAUUGGCUUCAGAGUGGGGAGAGCAGCAAUGGCCAAUCCUGGAGCCAGGGGAUCCCAGCAGCCUGGAGGAGUGGGGGAUGCUGGAGAUGAGCAGGGUCUGGGCCCAGCCAACUGUGAACAGGGUGGUGACUUCUCGAGCUGGACUUGGGCAGCAGGACCAAGGUGCUCACCCCUUGUUUUUCCCCCAAGCCAGGCUUUGUCCAUCCCAACCUUUGUUCAGGUAGAGCUGGUGGAGGCUGUGAGGAAAAAGAAGAUAGCAUGGAACACUGAGGCAGGCACUGAGCUGCAGAUGGAGACCUGGGAGGACAAAUCGCUGCUGCAGAACCUUUUUUGAGGCUGUUUUGAGCAGCUCCACAGCAUGGGAACCCAAUGGGGAGGAAAAGCCUGGAGAUCCCACACAAGGAGGGGCUGCAAACACAGCCCCGGGAGAUGUGAGGAGGUAAGAGCUCCUCUGUGCCUAGAAGGCAGCCAAAGAUUCAUUUGGCACUCAGAGAUGGUGGAGACGACUCAUGGCGGGCAGAAGCCCCACAAGUGCUUGGAAUGUGGGAAGGGCUUCAGCCGGAGCUCCGGAGCUCAGACAUGAUCUGGCACCAGGUGAUCCAGAUGGGGAAUCAAUCGGCCCUACAAGUGUGGAGAGUGUGGGAAGGGCUUUGGGCGGAUCUCCCAGUUCAUCAAUCACCACAAGAUUCACACCAGGGAGAGGCCCUAUGAGUGUCCUGAGUGUAGGAAGUGGUUUCUGAGAAGCUCCAAUCUCAUCGUAAUGAGCCAAGGGGUCAGCUGGAAAUGUAUUUAGGAUAACUGAAAACUGUGGAUGAGUCAAGGGGACAGCUGGGAAUAUAACUGAGAUAGUAGAUUACAUAUUUUAUUUAAGAUUUUUAAAUCAGUUAAGAAGCCAAGUUAGCUAGCAAAAAGCACAUGCCUUAGUUAAAGAGUAGCAAAUAUAUUAGAAAAGUAAAGCUAGGAGUGACAGGGAUAAAUGUAGGAAUUGUGAAGGAGCAGAGACCAUAGAAAUAUCUUGCCUUAAGAAUAAUCAGCAGUUAGGAGAGGCUACUGUGACCAGCAGAUCAAAAAGUCCUGCAAACUGGCCAUGGGUGAAGAGUUUACCUUGAGGAAGACAGCUUUCUUCCUCCCUUACACCCACUCCCUUAUUUCAAAAUCCCAAAGACCCAAUUAAGGAAGCACAAUUGCGCAGCCGUAAUGGAUAUUCAGCUGAUUAUAAUACGAAGCGGGCAGGUAAUGAUUUUUUAUUAUGUGUCCUUAGAAAUCGCUUUGAUAUGUAAAAGCUUUUCUGUAUAAAUAGAAAGCAGGAGUCUGCAACUCCUUGCACAUGUACUUGGAAAUGAUUCCACAUGUAUCCAGCACUGCAAUAAAAUACCCUUCCUCCAGCUUUAA